rnacentral:rRNA from 1 species
UCGGCUUAGAGUUUGAUCCUGGCUCAGAUUGAACGCUGGCGGCAGGCUUAACACAUGCAAGUCGAACGGUAAAGUACCUUGCUACUUACGAGUGGCGGAGGGGUGAGUAGCGUAUGGGAAUUUACCGAAUGGGGGGGGGCAACAGGUGGAAACGGCUGCUAAUACCGCAUAACGUCGAGAGACCAAAGGGUUUCGACUUGCCAUUUGAUGAGCCCAUAUGAGAUUAGCUAGUUGGUGUGGUAAUGGCUCACCAAGGCCACGAUCUCUAGGUGGUUUGAGAGGAUGACCAGCCACACUGGGACUGACACACGGCCCACACUCCUACGGGAGGCAGCAGUGGGGAAUAUUGCACAAUGGGGGGAACCCUGAUGCCGCCAUGCCGCGUGUAUGAAGAAGGCCUUAGGGUUGUAAAGCACUUUCGUGGAGGAGGAAGGGUUUACGUAAUCGUGGACAUUGACGUUACUCCAAGAAUAAGCACCGGCUAACUCCGUGCCAGCAGCCGCGGUAAUACAGAGGGUGCGAGCGUUAAUCAGAAUGACUGGGCGUAAAGGGCAUGUGGGCGGAUGAUUAAGUUAGAUGUGAAAUCCCUGGGG